CCUACGGGUGGCAGCAGUGGGGAAUAUUGCACAAUGGGCGAAACCCUGAUGCAGCGACGCCGCGUGAGUGAAGAAGUAAUUCGGUAUGUAAAGCUCUAUCAUCAGGGAAGAAAAUGACGGUACCUGAGGAAGAAGCCCCGGCUAACUACGUGCCAGCAGCCGCGGUAAUACGUAGGGGGCAAGCGUUAUCCGGAAUUACUGGGCGUAAAGGGAGCGUAGACGGUAGUGCAAGUCUGGAGUGAAAGGGUAGGGCUCAACCCCCGGACGGCUUUUGAAACUGUGCGGCUGGAGUGCAGGAGAGGUAAGUGGAAUUCCUAGUGUAGCGGUGAAAUGCGUAGAUAUUAGGAGGAACACCAGUGGCGAAGGCGGCUUACUGGACUGUAACUGACGCUGAGGCACGAAAGCGUGGGGAGCAAACAGGAUUAGAUACCCUUGUAGUC
rnacentral:rRNA from 1 species